UGGCUUAGAAGCAGCCAUCAUUUAAAGAGUGCGUAAUAGCUCACUAGUCGAGUGACACUGCGCCGAAAAUGUACCGGGGCUAAACAUAUUACCGAAGCUGUGGAUUGUCCUUUGGACAAUGGUAGGAGAGCGUUCUAAGGGCGUUGAAGCAUGAUCGUAAGGACAUGUGGAGCGCUUAGAAGUGAGAAUGCCGGUGUGAGUAGCGAAAGACGGGUGAGAAUCCCGUCCACCGAUUGACUAAGGUUUCCAGAGGAAGGCUCGUCCGCUCUGGGUUAGUCGGGUCCUAAGCUGAGGCCGACAGGCGUAGGCGAUGGAUAACAGGUUGAUAUUCCUGUACCACCUAUAAUCGUUUUAAUCGAUGGGGGGACGCAGUAGGAUAGGCGAAGCGUGCGAUUGGAUUGCACGUCUAAGCAGUAAGGCUGAGUAUUAGGCAAAUCCGGUACUCGUUAAGGCUGAGCUGUGAUGGGGAGAAGACAUUGUGUCUUCGAGUCGUUGAUUUCACACUGCCGAGAAAAGCCUCUAGAUAGAAAAUAGGUGCCCGUACCGCAAACCGACACAGGUAGUCAAGAUGAGAAUUCUAAGGUGAGCGAGCGAACUCUCGUUAAGGAACUCGGCAAAAUGACCCCGUAACUUCGGGAGAAGGGGUGCUCUUUAGGGUUAACGCCCAGAAGAGCCGCAGUGAAUAGGCCCAAGCGACUGUUUAUCAAAAACACAGGUCUCUGCUAAACCGUAAGGUGAUGUAUAGGGGCUGACGCCUGCCCGGUGCUGGAAGGUUAAGAGGAGUGGUUAGCUUCUGCGAAGCUACGAAUCGAAGCCCCAGUAAACGGCGGCCGUAACUAUAACGGUCCUAAGGUAGCGAAAUUCCUUGUCGGGUAAGUUCCGACCCGCACGAAAGGCGUAACGAUUUGGGCACUGUCUCAACGAGAGACUCGGUGAAAUCAUAGUACCUGUGAAGAUGCAGGUUACCCGCGACAGGACGGAAAGACCCCGUGGAGCUUUACUGUAGCCUGAUAUUGAAAUUCGGCACAGCUUGUACAGGAUAGGUAGGAGCCUUUGAAACGUGAGCGCUAGCUUACGUGGAGGCGCUGGUGGG
rnacentral:rRNA from 1 species